rnacentral:rRNA from 1 species
UACGUAGGGUGCGAGCGUUGUCCGGAAUUAUUGGGCGUAAAGAGCUUGUAGGCGGUUUGUCGCGUCGGGAGUGAAAACUCAGGGCUUAACCCUGAGCCUGCUUCCGAUACGGGCAGACUAGAGGUAUGCAGGGGAGAACGGAAUUCCUGGUGUAGCGGUGAAAUGCGCAGAUAUCAGGAGGAACACCGGUGGCGAAGGCGGUUCUCUGGGCAUUACCUGACGCUGAGGAGCGAAAGUGUGGGGAGCGAACAGG